AUUGAACGCUGGCGGCAGGCCUAACACAUGCAAGUCGAGCGGAGCGGCGGACGGGUGAGUAAUGCCUAGGAAUCUGCCUGGGAGUGGGGGAUAACGUCCGGGAACGGGCGCUAAUACCGCAUAAUAUCAGGUGAGCCUCGGGCGGAUUAGCUAGGUGGUGGGGUAAAGGCUUACCAAGGUGACGAUCCGUACCCGGUCUGAGAGGAUGAUCAGUCACACUGGAACUGAGACACGGUCCAGACUCCUACGUGAGGCAGCAGUGGGGAAUAUUGGACAAUGGGCGAAAGCCUGAUCCAGCCAUGCCGCGUGUGUGAAGAAGGUUUUCGGAUUGUAAAGCACUGUAAGUUGGGAGGCGUUACCAACAGAAUAAGCACCGGCUAACUUCGUGCCAGCAGCCGCGGUAAUUC
rnacentral:rRNA from 1 species